rnacentral:lncRNA from 1 species
AAGCCAGAAGGACAAAGCAGACCAGAAUAGCACUGCAAGGGCUCAGAAAACUGAAGUGUCAUUGAAACUACAAGCCCGCAAAACUAAGCCAGAACAUACAUGCUAACCCUAAACAGGGUGACUUGAGAUGUUUUGAUAUAUGUAUACAUUGUGCAAUGAUCAAAUCAAGGUAUUUAGCAUGUCCAUCACCUCAAACAUUUAUAAUUUUA